rnacentral:rRNA from 1 species
GACGAACGCUGGCGGCGUGCUUAACACAUGCAAGUCGAACGGAAAGGCCCUGCUUUUGUGGGGUGCUCGAGUGGCGAACGGGUGAGUAACACGUGAGUGACCUGCCCUUGACUUUGGGAUAACUUCAGGAAACUGGGGCUAAUACCGGAUAGGAGCUCCUGCUGCAUGGUGGGGGUUGGAAAGUUUCGGCGGUUGGGGAUGGACUCGCGGCUUAUCAGCUUGUUGGUGGGGUAGUGGCUUACCAAGGCUUUGACGGGUAGCCGGCCUGAGAGGGUGACCGGCCACAUUGGGACUGAGAUACGGCCCAGACUCCUACGGGAGGCAGCAGUGGGGAAUAUUGCACAAUGGGCGGAAGCCUGAUGCAGCAACGCCGCGUGCGGGAUGACGGCCUUCGGGUUGUAAACCGCUUUCGCCUGUGACGAAGCGUGAGUGACGGUAAUGGGUAAAGAAGCACCGGCUAACUACGUGCCAGCAGCCGCGGUGAUACGUAGGGUGCGAGCGUUGUCCGGAUUUAUUGGGCGUAAAGGGCUCGUAGGUGGUUGAUCGCGUCGGAAGUGUAAUCUUGGGGCUUAACCCUGAGCGUGCCUUCGAUACGGGUUGACUUGAGGAAGGUAGGGGAGAAUGGAAUUCCUGGUGGAGCGGUGGAAUGCGCAGAUAUCAGGAGGAACACCAGUGGCGAAGGCGGUUCUCUGGGCCUUUCCUGACGCUGAGGAGCGAAAGCGUGGGGAGCGAACAGGCUUAGAUACCCUGGUAGUCCACGCUGUAAACGGUGGGUACUAGGUGUGGGGUCCAUUCCACGGGUUCCGUGCCGUAGCUAACGCUUUAAGUACCCCGCCUGGGGAGUACGGCCGCAAGGCUAAAACUCAAAGGAAUUGACGGGGCCCCGCACAAGCGGCGGAGCAUGCGGAUUAAUUCGAUGCAACGCGUAGAACCUUACCUGGGUUUGACAUGGAUCGGGAGUGCUCAGAGAUGGGUGUGCCUCUUUUGGGGUCGGUUCACAGGUGGUGCAUGGCUGUCGUCAGCUCGUGUCGUGAGAUGUUGGGUUAAGUCCCGCAACGAGCGCAACCCUUGUUCACUGUUGCCAGCACGUUAUGGUGGGGACUCAGUGGAGACCGCCGGGGUCAACUCGGAGGAAGGUGGGGAUGACGUCAAGUCAUCAUGCCCCUUAUGUCCAGGGCUUCACGCAUGCUACAAUGGCUGGUACAGAGAGUGGCGAGCCUGUGAGGGUGAGCGAAUCUCGGAAAGCCGGUCUCAGUUCGGAUUGGGGUCUGCAACUCGACCUCAUGAAGUCGGAGUCGCUAGUAAUCGCAGAUCAGCAACGCUGCGGUGAAUACGUUCCCGGGGCU